UAUAUUAUAGUCAUGUUUAAUUAUUAUUUAAUAUAUUAUAGUCAUGUUUUGUUUCACGAAAAUUCUUUAUAAGUGACUUUAUUUAUUUUAUUUUAUUAAUCUAUGGAUAUUUUUAUAUUUUAUAUAUUAUAAAACUGACAUAUCCUUGCCGUACCCGUACCUCUAAAAUUUUAUUUUUCCCGUUUCCCGUCCCCGUACCUGUCUCCCGUAUCAGUACCCGUCUCAGUGCAGCAUAGUGAAAAGAACUGAAGCAGAUUUAUACUAAGUGUAGACCGACGAUAAUGCCAAAUCACAGCGAGCGGGGAAACUAUCGUCUCGGAGGACCACCAACUUGUCGACCUCUACCACCCUGACAACCACCACUGCGACCACCACCACCUUUUAGACUACAUGAUGGUGAUACUGAAUCCUUUUUAUUGUUGAUCCAAGUAUAUAUAAAGACCGUUGAUACGCAAUGGGUGUAACUCCAGCCGAGGAGAAGCUAAAACACAGUUUAUGCGCCAAGAGGCCAAGAGAGCCAACAAAAGCAAGAAGACAAUCCAAAAACUGUUUGCCAUCUUUAAUUUUUUUUUUUAUCUCUUUGUUUAUUUUCUAAACUGUUGAAUCUUAUACUGUUAUUAACCCCUUUGGGAAUAGCUUAAAUUCAACGAAUGAACAAAAAAAAUCAAAUACAAAUGAAACUAAACUUUUACUUUGGCCA